CCCACAGGGCAUCUGGCUGACCUCUGCCUGCAGUGGCAAGGGUGAAGCUAUGCCCUGCUGCUUCGGGACAAUGUCAGGGUGUCUACCUUCCUCCCAGGAGUUGCCCUGAGGGACCGAGCAAACCAUCCACCCGCUAUUCACAAGGGGAAACUGAGGCUCACCAUCAGCGGUCACUGAUGGCCACCUCCUUGUGCUGAGGACUUGUGGGGUUUACUCAAAGAUGGCAGAGACACAGAGUGCACCAUGGAACAUAUAAGCUCGAGGAUUCCAGGAAGGAGGCUGGCAAGAUGGCUCAGCUGGGGAGGCCUGGCUGUGCACCACAUGCAUGCAGAGCCCGGAGGCCAGAACGGAGCGUCAGAUGCCCUGGUGCUGGAUUUUUCAGCGGGGCCUGUGAGCCAACGCAGGGGUGCUGGGAACUCAGGUUCCGCCUGGAGGUUCCUGGGACAUUGGCCUUCCAUGUAGAAUGCUCUGCUUGGUCGACCCUGCAGACAGGAGUUCAUCUGUGACUGGCCAGCAGAUCUCCAGGUGUGCACCGGUGGCCAUUCCUGGAGUCCUCAGGGGUGCACAGGCAGGAAGCUGUCCAGAUUCUCUGAUGUGGGCCCUGCCUUUUCUGGUUACCCACUCUUCCUCCCGCUCAUGUCUGUCGUCACCCAUGGUGACCAUAGGCCAUCUCCUUGGCAACGGCAGCCACCAGGUCAGCUGUAUCAUCGACCACAGCUCACCCUUGCAGACCCUACACUGGACACAGAAGGUGGCGAGGCCCCAUCAGGGGCAGCUUCCUGGACCUCGCGUGUGGCUGGGUCGGCAAGAGAGCUCAUCUUGACCCACCUGGACACUCAGGGGUCUGUGAGACCUGUUCCUCCCUCCUGCCCCAGGAAGGCACAUGGCUGCCCAAACGCUGCAGAAGAUGGCUUCUGAGCCCACUGCUUAGUGGAUUUGUCACUACAGGACAUCCAAGAGCAGCAGCUGCAGACGGAGAGGUGGUGUGGCGGUGAUGAAUGCUGGCUCCUUUCCAGAAGACCUGGGUUUAGUUCCCAGCACCCACAGGGCAUCUGUGACUCCAGCUCUGUCGAACGCAAUGCCCUCCUCUCUAACAGUUCCUGCACGCAUGCACCCAAAGGCAGAGCACUUAACGCACGAAAAAUGAAAAUAAAUAAAAUCUAAGAACAGCAGUCAAGGUUGCCAA